GACGAAUGCUGGCGGCGUGCUUAACACAUGCAAGUCGAACGGAAAGGCCCUGCUUGCAGGGUACUGGAGUGGCGAACGGGUGAGUAACACGUGGGUGAUCUGCCCUGCACUUCGGGAUAAGCCUGGGAAACUGGGUCUAAUACCGGAUAGGAGCCAUUUUUAGUGUGAUGGUUGGAAAGUUUUUUCGGUGUAGGAUGAGCUCGCGGCCUAUCAGCUUGUUGGUGGGGUAAUGGCCUACCAAGGCGGCGACGGGUAGCCGGCCUGAGAGGGUGGACGGCCACAUUGGGACUGAGAUACGGCCCAGACUCCUACGGGAGGCAGCAGUGGGGAAUAUUGCACAAUGGGCGCAAGCCUGAUGCAGCGACGCCGCGUGGGGGAUGACGGCCUUCGGGUUGUAAACUCCUUUCGCUAGGGACGAAGCUUUUGUGACGGUACCUAGAUAAGAAGCACCGGCUAACUACGUG
rnacentral:rRNA from 1 species